rnacentral:tRNA from 1 species
AUUUAGGUAGUUUAAGAGAAAAUAUUGAUUUGUGGUGUCAAAGAAAUAUAAAUAUAUUCUAAAUA